CACGUAGGCACCAAGCGUUGUCCGGAUUUAUUGGGCGUAAAGAGCUCGUAGGCGGUUCAGUAAGUCAGGCGUGAAAUCUUUGGGCUUAACCCAAAGCGUGCGUUUGAUACUGCUGUGACUUGAGUUCGGUAGGGGAGUGGGGAAUUCCUAGUGUAGCGGUGAAAUGCGCAGAUAUUAGGAGGAACACCAGUGGCGAAGGCGGCUCACUGGCCCGGUACUGACGCUGAGGCACGAAAGCGUGGGGAGCGAACAGG
rnacentral:rRNA from 1 species